rnacentral:rRNA from 1 species
GAUGAACGCUGGCGGCGUGCCUAACACAUGCAAGUCGAACGUGAGAGAGUAGCAAUAUUCUUGAAAGUGGCGAACGGGUGAGUAACACGUGGAUAACCUGCCCUGGAGUGGGGGAUAACAACUAGAAAUGGUUGCUAAUACCGCAUGAGGCUGAGAUAGCGGGAGUUAUUUUAGCGAAAACUCUGGUGCUUCAGGAGGGGUCUGCGGCCGAUUAGCUAGUUGGCGGGGUAAGAGCCCACCAAGGCGACGAUCGGUAGCUGGUCUGAGAGGACGAUCAGCCACACGGGAACUGAGAAACGGUCCCGACUCCUACGGGAGGCUG